GUCGAACGAGAAGUACCUCGGGUAAUGGAAAGUGGCGGACGGGUGAGUAAUGUGUAGAGAAUCUGCCCUAGAGUGGGGGACAACAGUUGGAAACGACUGCUAAUACCGCAUAUGCGCGUAGCUGAGAUGCUAUUCGUGAAAACUCCGGUGCUCUGGGAUGAGUCUGCAUCUGAUUAGCUAGGUUGGGGGUGUAAUGGACCACCAAGGCGACGAUCAGUAGCUGGUUUGAGAGGAUGAUCAGCCACAAGUGGGACUGGAGACGACCGGCCCAUACUCCGUACGGGAGGCAGCAGGUAGGGUAAUUUGCGACAAGUACGGGGGAAACCUGACGCAACGCAACGCCGCGUGAUUGAAUAAGCCCUUCGGGGUGUAAAGAUCUGUCAGUGGGGACGAAACUUGACGGUACCCACAGAGGAAGCAUCGGCUAACUCCGUGCCAGCAGCGGC
rnacentral:rRNA from 1 species